rnacentral:lncRNA from 1 species
GCAUGUUGAAAAUGGGGUUAGCAUGAAAGAAAGAGCCCAGCAUUCAUUUCUGAAUGAAUAUUCAUAACUGAGUCUACUAAAAGAGGGACCAGCCUCGUCUUGGUGAUUAGAGGACACCUCUGAUCGUUCACCUCUAAUGUGACACGUUCCCUCCUAGUUAUAUGAUCAACGGGAUCAGUCGGCUAGAGAGCGGGGCUAUUCUUCUUCCGGGGAGACAAAGUCGUCCCUUCUACUGACCGAACCCUCAGUUCGGGGGCCUUCGUCAACAUGUUACGAAGCUCCAGUCUUCGGUGGGUCACCAUUACUUGACUUAGAAAGGCGAACAUCUGGGCAAGGGAAAGCGCAGUGCGCCUGGUGCAAAUGGCUUUCUUUUUUCAUGAUAUACCAAUCAGAAUGGAGGGUCCUACCUACGUACAUGAUUGAUAGAAUCACUACGUAGGGGGGCGGUCAACUUGAUGCGGGAGAGGCAUGAGUGCAGUUCAAUCUUAUGGUGUAUUCGUUUGUAGUGAGUAGGGCCUCUUUCUCGUUGAUCAGUUCGCCUCCACUCUAUUGAAAAGUAGGAAUUCCUACGGCGGUUUUAUCAACGAACGCGUCUCGGGCCGGAUUGACUAACCUAACCCACCCUGUUGGAGGCUUUUCCAUAGUUGGGUGUCCGCUUUAGUGUGAUUUACGAAGGCUAGGCUAGGUUUGGUAAUAUCCAAAACAAAUGAAAAGAGAUCGGGGUCGAUAGGUGGCAGUUGGCAAGGAACUUGAUCCCCCCCAAAAAAAGGGGGAAGCCGCGGUCGAACUCAAAUUCUGGAAAUAAGUCGGGGCCCUUUUACCAAGUCUACCAGAUAGAAGAUGAUAGAGGGCCAACUAUCGUUGCCUUGCACAAGACGGUGCCCUUUCACUUCGAGUUCCUUCCUUCAUAGUCAAAUCUGAUUAUACGCUUUAGCGAUGUUACCUACCAAAUAAAAGGCCUGCUAGGUGAUCAAAAUCGCUCAGGUGAGGACUCACUCACUCAUCUACUCCUUAUCUACUCCUACCAAAUAAAGGGCUAUAAGAUAAGAUACAGUUCUUGUACUACUUGAUUGACUGGUAAGAAAGAGCUUCCGUAAGAACUGGAAGACUCUUGUAUGUACGGUAACCCUCUCUUCCUCUACUGGUGGAUUGUUGCACAGAAAGGGCGAAAGAAGGAAACUUUCUUAGCGCGCUUUUCAAGCGCUUAGCUGCUGCUAGUGGCGGGGCGACAAGUCCAUGUUGUUCAGUUGGAAGCCUAAGCCAAGAAGGUACGAACGAAGUGAGGGGCCCCUUUAGAAGAUAAGGGGCGGCUUUCUUAUGGUAGUAAUUACAAACAUCUCUCCUCUUCUCUUAGCGUGCACAGUUUGCUUACAUGCCGCCUUAGGCACAUCUCUCUUUCUUAGUUUCAUGCUGGACUAAUGAUAAUGAAUGAAAGUCAGUCUUUUAGUAAACGUAUAUAAGCAGCUCUUUAGUGUAUAAGCAAUUCUUUAGUGGUCGCACCGAAAGUACGGUGGAGGUUGGUUGAAGAUGAUGUUACGCGGCGUUCAGAACCAGUCUUGAAGUGAAUGAAUUAUAAAGAAGUAAGGAAAUGAGACGACUCUUUCUUGAACUAUAUCAUAAACAGAUCUUCCCCUCCACACCAAUCACGAGUUUUUCUCUAUUCCUCUCGUAUAUCGUCGUAACGCCCUUAAUGCUAGGUUUUGAAAAAGACUUUUCAUGUCAUUCCCAUUUAGGUCCGAUUCGGAUCCCUCCGUUGUUUCCUUUUCCUUCCGCACCUUUUCCUCGAAAUGAGAAAGAAGAUGGUACACUUGAAUUUUAUUAUUUAAGUGCUUAUUGCUUGCCAAAAAUCCUACUUCUAUAAUUGGUAGGUCACCGGGUUAUUUAAAAAAGUCGUGUUUUUUGUGGUUUUCCCAUGUUACAACUUCCGUACCAAUUCGGUCGAUCCGGAAUGGAUCGGUUAAACAUUCCAUUAGGUAGCCUGGUCUUGACUCUUCUGUGUGGUAUUCAUUCUCGUUCGGCUCUUGGAAUCACAUCCAGCAGUGGUUGGAAUAGCUCGCAAAAUCCAACCACUUCACCUACUUCAUUGCCCCCAACCGUUUCUCGUACCUCUAUUGAAACAGAAUGGUUUCAUGUUCUUUCAUCGAUUGGUUAUUCCUCUCCGUUCGUAUCUCUUUUUCCAAUUUCGGUCUCCGAUUAGUUCCAAGAUUGAAUGGCCAAUUCUCCUCCGAACCCUCGAUUCCAUUGUUUUCCAAGAAUGUUGAGCCGGGUAUGUAAGCCAUGUAUCUGGGAGGAACAACAAUAAAAGAAGGGCUUUCGGUUUUGGUCUUGCCGCUAUUUUCAAAAUAUAUAUAUAAGAAUCCCUUUUUUAAAAGAAAGAUUAUAUAUAUGUCCAAUCUCUAGUGGUGGUGGAACCAAACAAGAUGUAUGUCGUCCGACCCGACCUCAGACUCUUUCUUCCCGACCUAUUUAACUCUCUGGCCAUAGUUAUUUAGGUGGUAUU